ACAAUUUGCCUUAUACAGGGAGAUAGCCCGGAGAAAUUCGGAUUAAUAUCCCAUAAUAAUUUUGUCUCGCAUGAGAUGAUUUUUAAAGCUACGGCGGUAUAAGAUGAGUAUGCGUCUGAUUAGCUAGUUGGUGAGGUAAUGGCUCACCAAGGCAACGAUCAGUAGGGGGCCUGAGAGGGUUAUCC
rnacentral:rRNA from 1 species